AAGAUGGAGGACGAUGAGCUCGCGUCAUACAUCCUUGCCGGUCUUGACUCCGAGUGGAACCCGCUCGUCACCGCCAUGACGACCAAAACUGAAACGGUAUCGCUCUCUGAAUUAUAUGCUCAUCUUCCUAAUUUCGAGA